CCUACGGGAGGCAGCAGUGGGGAAUAUUGCACAAUGGGCGCAAGCCUGAUGCAGCCAUGCCGCGUGUGUGAAGAAGGUCUUCGGAUUGUAAAGCUCUUUCACCGGUGAAGAUAAUGACGGUAACCGGAGAAGAAGCCCCGGCUAACUUCGUGCCAGCAGCCGCGGUAAUACGAAGGGGGCUAGCGUUGCUCGGAAUUACUGGGCGUAAAGCGCGCGUAGGCGGAUAGAUAAGUCAGAGGUGAAAUCCCGGGGCUCAACCCCGGAAUUGCCUUUGAUACUGUUUAUCUUGAGUGCAGAAGAGGUAAGUGGAAUUCCGAGUGUAGGGGUGAAAUUCGUAGAUAUUCGGAGGAACACCAGUGGCGAAGGCGGCUUACUGGUCUGCAACUGACGCUGAGGCGCGAAAGCGUGGGGAGCAAACAGGAUUAGAUACCCGCGUAGUC
rnacentral:rRNA from 1 species